AGCUUGUGGACUAGUUUUAACAA
rnacentral:miRNA from 1 species